rnacentral:tRNA from 1 species
UGAUAUAUAGUUUAAUAAAAACAUUAAUUUUGUAAAUUAAAAAUUUAAAUAACUUAAUAUAUCAA